UGGGGAAAAUUGCGCAAUGGGCGAAAGCCUGACGCAGCGACGCCGCGUGAGGGAUGAAGGUUUUCGGAUCGUAAACCUCUGUCAGAAGGGAAGAAACCGCACUGUGCUAAUCAGCAGUGCCUUGACGGUACCUUCAAAGGAAGCACCGGCUAACUCCGUGCCAGCAGCCGCGGUAAUACGGAGGGUGCAAGCGUUAAUCGGAAUUACUGGGCGUAAAGCGCACGUAGGCUGCUUUGUAAGUCAGGGGUGAAAUCCCACGGCUCAACCGUGGAACUGUCUUUGAUACUGCUUAGCUUGAAUCCGGGAGAGGGUGGCGGAAUUCCAGGUGUAGGAGUGAAAUCCGUAGAUAUCUGGAGGAACAUCAGUGGCGAAGGCGGCCUCCUGGACCGGUAUUGACGCUGAGGUGCGAAAGCGUGGGGAGCAAACAGG
rnacentral:rRNA from 1 species